AUUGAACGCUAGCGGCAGGCCUAACACAUGCAAGUCGAACGGUAGCACAGAGGAGCUCGCUCCUCGGGUGACGAGUGGCGGACGGGUGAGUAAUGUCUGGGGAUCUGCCCGAUGGAGGGGGAUAACUACUGGAAACGGUAGCUAAUACCGCAUAACGUCGCAAGACCAAAGUGGGGGACCUUCGGGCCUCACACCAUCGGAUGAACCCAGAUGGAUUAGCUAGUAGGUGGGGUAACGGCUCACCUAGGCGACGAUCCCUAGCUGGUCUGAGAGGAGCACCGGCCAACCGGGAACUGAGACACGGUCCAGACUCCUCCGGGAGGCAGCAGUGGGGAAUAUUGCACAAGGGGCGCAAGCCUGUUGCAGCCAUGCCGCGUGUAUGAAGAAGGCCUUCGGGUUGUAAAGUACUUUCAGCGGGGAGGAAGGGAUGAUGUUUAAUACGCAUCGUCAUUGACGUUACCCGCAGAAGAAGCACCGGCUAACUCCGUGCCAGCCGCCGCGGUAA
rnacentral:rRNA from 1 species